AUGUAUCAUGAGGAGAACCUUGGUAGAGUGCAAGACAAAGAGGCUCAUGAGAUAGAGGUUGAGAAACUGAAGAAGGAGCUGGAUUCUCUUGGCAAUCAGUACAGUCAGCUUGUGGAUGAUGUAUCCAAGCUAUUUGAUUACCAGGAUGGGCAGAAAUCCCAUGACAUGGAUUACACAAGCCAGGCAAUCAAUGAACUUAAGGAGAAGAAGCAUCAGCUUGAGGAGCGGGCAAAGAUUGAGAUUCAAAUGGAGAAGCUUAAGCUCAAGAAAGAACAAAGGUGCAUCCUGCAGAGUCAAGCUGAUAUCAUUCAAAACACCAGGAAAGCCAUGAAGGAGAUACAAGUUGAGAGAGACCUCCUUAAAGAAGAGAAGAAGAAGCUGGAGCAUAUCAUUGCUGAGCUCUUGAAGGCAGGUCACGGGUGCAAAGAAAAGCUAGACAAGAUCAAAGAAGUUGUCAUGGAGGAGUGA
rnacentral:rRNA from 1 species